GUACUAUUCCCUCCGUCCGGAAAUACUUGUCGAAGAAAUAAAUACAAAUAAAUGUAUCUAGAAUUAGAAUACAUAUAGAUACAUCCAUUCCUCGGACAAGUAAUUCCGGACGGAGGAGUACUAG
rfam:Triticum aestivum genome assembly, contig: Triticum_aestivum_CS42_TGACv1_scaffold_404325_5BL